rnacentral:rRNA from 1 species
CCUACGGGGGUCUGCAGUGGGGAAUAUUGGACAAUGGGCGAAAGCCUGAUCCAGCCAUGCCGCGUGUGUGAAGAAGGCCUUCGGGUUGUAAAGCACUUUCAGUGGGGAAGAAAGCCUUGGGGCUAAUACCCUCGAGGAAGGACAUCACCCACAGAAGAAGCACCGGCUAACUCCGUGCCAGCAGCCGCGGUAAUACGGAGGGUGCGAGCGUUAAUCGGAAUUACUGGGCGUAAAGCGCGCGUAGGCGGUCUGAUAAGCCGGUUGUGAAAGCCCCGGGCUCAACCUGGGAACGGCAUCCGGAACUGUCAGGCUAGAGUGCAGGAGAGGAAGGUAGAAUUCCCGGUGUAGCGGUGAAAUGCGUAGAGAUCGGGAGGAAUACCAGUGGCGAAGGCGGCCUUCUGGACUGACACUGACGCUGAGGUGCGAAAGCGUGGGUAGCAAACAGGAUUAGAUACCCUGGUAGUC